CCUACGGGGCGCAGCAGUGAGGAAUAUUGGUCAAUGGCCGCAGGGCUGAACCAGCCAAGUCGCGUGAGGGAUGACGGUCCUAUGGAUUGUAAACUUCUUUUGUCGGGGAACAAAGGCGGAGACGCGUCUCCGGAUGAGUGUACCCGAAGAAAAAGCAUCGGCUAACUCCGUGCCAGCAGCCGCGGUAAUACGGAGGAUGCGAGCGUUAUCCGGAUUUAUUGGGUUUAAAGGGUGCGCAGGCGGGAGAUCAAGUCAGCGGUAAAAUGUCGGGGCUCAACCCCGGCCGGCCGUUGAAACUGGGUUUU
rnacentral:rRNA from 1 species